UCAAAAAUAGUAUAAGUUAAAUAGUAUAAUUAGUUUACAUCUAAUGGGAAUAAUGGUUAGAUGUUUUUUUUGAU
rnacentral:tRNA from 1 species